AGUGAACGCUGGCGGCAGGCCUAACACAUGCAAGUCGAACGGAAAGACAGUAAGCGCUCGCCUUUACCGGUGGCGAGUGGCGGAUGGGUGAGGCAUACAUCGCCUUCUUAUUAUACGUGGGGGACAUCGUAGGGCCACUUCCGCUACUACAGCAUAUGUCCUACGGGUGGGAGCAGGAGAUCAUCGGGCCUUGCGCGUUAGAUUGAGCCGGUGCCGGAUUAGCUAGUUGGCGGGGUAAAGGCACACCAAGGCGACGCUCCGUAGCUGGUCUGAGAGGGUGAUCAGCCACACUGGAACUGAGACACGGUCCAGACUCCUACGGGAGGCAGCAGUGGGGAAUAUUGGACAAUGGGCGCAAGCCUGAUCCAGCCACGCCGCGUGGGUGAAGAAGGGCUUCGGGUUGUAAAGCCCUUUUAUUGGGGAAGAACACCAGCAGAUGAAUACCCGCCUGUUCUGACGGUACCUAAAGAAUAAGCACCGGCUAACUACGUG
rnacentral:rRNA from 1 species